AUUUCCAAUAUCACGUAUGCAUUGUACAAACUUAAGUGAACAACAAACAUUUUAUACUGAUAAUGCCAUUACAAAGCACUGAACCUCAUUAGCAGUGCAGAUAAGCGACUAAAUCGAAUCGGAAGUAGAAAAGAGCUUAGAAAUAGACAGGAUUCCAGAGUUCUUGUUAUACACGAGUCGAAUUACUCAUCGAACCAGUUUUUCGAUUAUUGGUCUUGCACUAGCAAUAUUAAAGAAAAUGUUUCAUUAAUUCUCGGUCGCGAUGAUAUAACGCGAAACUGACACUGCCUAUGAUGGUGACAAAAGUGAAGCUGAUUUUAUAUGAGAAGGGAUAUGGCUGUUAGUUUCGUCGAUAGCACCGAACUCACAUUGACGAGACUUGAUUUGCAAUACUAAUUAAUCCACAAUAUGUUCAAGUAUCACACGGAUAUUACAAGAAUCCGUUUCACUGUUUUGUGUAUUUCCUAAUGCAAUUGGCUGUAAUACAUACUCCUUGCGGCGUGCACUGCGUCGCUUGUCGUCAGCGGUCGCAGCAGGCGGCGGGUCGACGCGCGGUUCCGCCUCGCUCGUCUGUCCCGAGCUAAGCGAUGCCGCCACGCCGGAGUCGCUCUCCGCUUCGCUCUCGCCGCCUUCCAUUGAACCACUGAAUUCUGCAUAUCUGCGUGUGAGAUGGAACGGCACGUUACUCACUUACGGCAACCCACUCCUUAAUCUGCACGGCAUGAGGGUGUCCCUUCUCGACGAGUCCGUCUGCAAGUUGUGCCAACAACCGCACUCUUUCGCGGGACUCGCGAGCCACGCCGCCCGCUGCCGCCGCCGCAGCCGCUCCGCAUCGCUCCUGGGUCUCGCGGAUCCACUCCACGGCCGCUCGCGCAGACCGCUCGAACAGAGCGAAUUGUUGGCACUGCUCGAGACGCUUCUUACGUACAGUCCAGUGCUCCAGAACCUAAAACAAGUUAAAUAUAAAUACAUAAAUUCUAAGACCAAUCUCACCAACAAACAAUAACCGAUUGUAUAAAUUUGA